rnacentral:tRNA from 1 species
GCCCGGAUGGUGAAAUAGGCAGACCCAAAGGACUUAAAAUCCCUCGGCCACAAGGCCGUGCGGGUUCGACCCCCGCUCCGGGCACCA